AAGCGGCAACAGCUCAAAUUUGAAAUCUGGCGUCUUUGGCGUCCGAGUUGUAAUUUGCAGAGGGCGCUUUGGCAUUGGCAGCGGUCCAAGUUCCUUGGAACAGGACGUCACAGAGGGUGAGAAUCCCGUACGUGGUCGCUAGCCUUUACCGUGUAAAGCCCCUUCGACGAGUCGAGUUGUUUGGGAAUGCAGCUCUAAAUGGGAGGUAAAUUUCUUCUAAAGCUAAAUACUGGCCAGAGACCGAUAGCGCACAAGUAGAGUGAUCGAAAGAUGAAAAGCACUUUGGAAAGAGAGUUAAAAAGCACGUGAAAUUGUUGAAAGGGAAGCGCUUGCAGCCAGACUUGCCUGUAGUUGCUCAUCUAGGUUUCUACCUAGUGCACUCUUCUAUAGGCAGGCCAGCAUCAGUUUGGGCGGUUGGAUAAAGGUCUCUGUCAUGUACCUCUCUUCGGGGAGAACUUAUAGGGGAGACGACAUGCAACCAGCCUGGACUGAGGUCCG
rnacentral:rRNA from 1 species